UGUCCCUGGGUCCACCCUGAGGCGUAGCUCAGGUAAUCUCCUUCGCCUGUGGUGCAUUAGCUGCAAUCAAGAGGCUGCAUUUAAACCCAGUGUCGUCAUCUCUCCUUUGCCAGUCCGACAGCUACCAAUGUUUUUGACUCAUCAGUUACACCGUAAGCACCCAGCUUCCAGCCAGAAAUCUCACCCACCACUGAACCUUGCCGUCUAAACUUGGAUUCUCUUCACCUCUACUGCCUGCCCUCCUGCCUGCUGACUGUGCUGGAAACACUAAACCUCAGGUUGGACAAAUACUCAGCUGCUCAGUCUUCAAUACCCUCCCCAAGCUGGAAAUCGGCUUCACUGUGUGUAAGCAGUCAAGAUCUGUGUUGUAAAUAAUGUAAAACGAACAGUAAGUCCAAAUCAAGAAAUGCAUAUACAGGGAGACAACUUCAUCAGUUUUGGAAGCCACUGAGGUCAACCUCAGACACAUAUGUGUGGAGGGUUAUUUCUCUGUCUAGAAGUUACACGAAGCUCAACAGAAAGUCUGUAAGGAUGGCAGAGGAGGAAGUUAACUAUGCCACAGUCAAAUUCAAAGAAAAGAAACAUUCCCAAUCAAAAGUUAAAAAGGAGGAAACUGUUUUUGAUGAAGUGGAGGUGAAAAAUGAAGCAAAGGAACAAACUCUGGUCACAAAUGAUUUUUACGCCAGACAAGAAGAACGAACUACAACAGUUUAUAUAUCAUAGUGAGGAGAUGCAAAUUCCCCUUGGGCUCACAUCAGGAAGAGCUUCCGAUCUAAAAUACUAGCAAAUCAAACACACAACCCAUGUAAAAAGGGAGCAGCUGAAAGUAAGAUACAGAUUCAGUUAUUUUCAGAGAAAAUUUAGUUUUAGGUUUAUUUUAAAAGUUAUUAACUUGAAUUUAGUUUCUAUUAGGUUCAAUGCUAAUUUUAGUUAAACUAUAACAUGGUAAUAGUUUAGCACAGGGCAAUAUCUAAGAAGCUCAGAAUAGUUAUUGGAAAUGUUCGCUCUGCAUAAAAAUCCUCAUGUAUACAUCCAUAAUUUUUCAUAAAAGGUCUGAAAAUAAGUUGCUAAACAAAGUUUUUUUUUUAGUUUAGAUGCAUGGUAGUUUGCAUACUCAUUAAUCCCAAGAUUUUCAGUUAUCGUUUGUAACCUUGUUACGAUGUGCUUGAGUCGUAAAAUUUAUUUUGAAAAAUGAGUUGAAAUUUUACUGAAUCCAUUCACUACACAUCUGACCUAUUAAAAGCCUGGAGGAUAUAAAUGAAUGAUUUAACAUGUGACCCAUCUACAAUUGAGCAGGUAACAACCCCGAACGAAAGAACCAAGGUCACCCACAGUUAUAACAGACACAAGUGUUGAUUCAAUAAAUGCCCUCACAUCUAACCAAACACUAGUACUCAUACCUCUCAUUAUUAUACACAUACCUGUAUGUGUAGACUAAGCACUGGUGGUCACCAAAGUACUGCAGUUUGAAAUAAUUCACAAGCAUGUACAGUCACAUAUUUUUAUACAGUUGUUUAUUUCCGUAAAAGUAAAUUAAAACUGCUAAUAUCACAUAUUUAGUUUAUGAUAUUACUCAUUAUUCUGACCUAACUUUAAUGCUCUUUCAUUGAAGUUUGGGUGAUAUGGCCUGAUAACAUUAACAACUGAUAACC